rnacentral:rRNA from 1 species
UACGAAGGUGGCAAGCGUUGUUCGGAUUUACUGGGCGUAAAGGGAGCGUAGGUGGUGCGGUAAGCCCUCCGGGAAAGCUUCAGGCUUAACCUGAAAAGGUCGGGGGGGACUGCCACGCUAGAGGACGGGAGAGGAGCGCGGAAUUCCCGGUGUAGCGGUGAAAUGCGUAGAGAUCGGGAGGAAGGCCGGUGGCGAAGGCGGCUUACUAGACGACAACUGACGCUGAGGCGCGAAAGCUAGGGGAGCAAACAGG